rnacentral:rRNA from 1 species
GGCUCAGGAUGAACGCUGGCGGCGUGCUUAACACAUGCAAGUCGAACGGAAAGGCCCUUCGGGGUACUCGAGUGGCGAACGGGUGAGUAACACGUGGGUGAUCUGCCCUGCACUUCGGGAUAAGCCUGGGAAACUGGGUCUAAUACCGGAUAUGACCUCCUAUCGCAUGGUGGGUGGGGGAAAGAUUUAUCGGUGCAGGAUGGGCCCGCGGCCUAUCAGCUUGUUGGUGGGGUAAUGGCCUACCAAGGCGUCGACGGGUAGCCGGCCUGAGAGGGUG